rnacentral:rRNA from 1 species
UAGGGAAUCUUCGGCAAUGGACGAAAGUCUGACCGAGCAACGCCGCGUGAGUGAAGAAGGUUUUCGGAUCGUAAAACUCUGUUGUUAGAGAAGAACAAGGACGUUAGUAACUGAACGUCCCCUGACGGUAUCUAACCAGAAAGCCACGGCUAACUACGUGCCAGCAGCCGCGGUAAUACGUAGGUGGCAAGCGUUGUCCGGAUUUAUUGGGCGUAAAGCGAGCGCAGGCGGUUUCUUAAGUCUGAUGUGAAAGCCCCCGGCUCAACCGGGGAGGGUGAUUGGAAAAUGGGAGAAUUGAGGGCAGAAGAGGAGAGUGGAAUUCCAUGUGUAGCGAUGAAAUGCGUAGAUAUAUGGAGGAACACCAGUGGCGAAGGCGGCUCUCUGGUCUGUAACUGACGCUGAGGCUCGAAAGCGUGGGGAGCAAACUGG